UCAAGCCGCGCGAGGCCGCCCGAGCCCGGCCCGCUCCCCGAGCGAGUGCCGCUGUCGCUGUCGCCGCUGCCGCCUAGCGCCCGCGGGUCCCCGGCCACGCCGCCACGGCCAGGAAGGCAGCCGGCGCGGAGCAAGUUGCGAGCGUGCUCUCCGCCCGGGGAAAGUUUCCCCGCGGCCCCGGCGGGAGUUGGCGUGGGUCCGGCUGCAGCCUCCGCCGCUGGAAGAGUUUAUCCUGAAACCAUCAUCAGAAGAAGACCUCAAAAGACUCUUGACAUCCCUCAGCUGAAGGGAAAAGACAUCUGUUGAAAGAGGUGAGCAUCUCCUGGACAGCCUUGAGCUUGCUGUGGCCAGAGCUUCUAACACUGAUCAAAGGAACUCAAACCCCUGGAAUUCGACUUUUAGAA